GAUGAACGCUGGCGGCGUGCCUAAUACAUGCAAGUCGAGCGAACAGAUGAGGAGCUUGCUCCUCUGACGUUAGCGGCGGACGGGUGAGUAACACGUGGAUAACCUACCUAUAAGACUGGGAUAACUUCGGGAAACCGGAGCUAAUACCGGAUAAUAUAUUGAACCGCAUGGUUCAAUAGUGAAAGACGGUUUUGCUGUCACUUAUAGAUGGAUCCGCGCCGCAUUAGCUAGUUGGUAAGGUAACGGCUUACCAAGGCAACGAUGCGUAGCCGACCUGAGAGGGUGAUCGGCCACACUGGAACGGAGACACGGUCCAGACUCCUACGGGAGGCAGCAGUAGGGAAUCUUCCGCAAUGGUCGAAAGCCUGACGGAGCAACGCCGCGUGAGUGAUGAAGGUCUUCGGAUCGUAAAACUCUGUUAUUAGGGAAGAACAAAUGUGUAAGUAACUAUGCACGUCUUGACGGUACCUAAUCAGAAAGCCACGGCUAACUACGUG
rnacentral:rRNA from 1 species